rnacentral:lncRNA from 1 species
CCGGCCUGCUUUAUUACUCUGAAGUGAAAUUAAUAGGAAUAAUAUUCUCAGAUCAAGAGAGUUCCUCGGAGUAGUUGAGGCCAGAGGUAGCUGUGCAGUUUAAGGAGACUAAAGCCAGCAGUAUGUGGCAGCUUUGACUGAUGCAUGAUGCAUUGGAAGACACCACUUAAAGAAUCCAGAAAAUAAUUG